rnacentral:lncRNA from 1 species
AUAAUUCUUUUUUUUUUUAUAUUAUAAACCUAACAUUACCAUCAUAUCAUUUCUAAAAUUCAUAUAUUUUUUUUAAUUUUCACUACAGAUUUUAUUUGUAUAAAUUCUUUAAACUUGUCCACCACAACUCAUUUGCUUAUUCUAAUAUUGAAUGAUGAACAAUUGCCAUUUCAUCCUUUGUUGUAAUGUGUAUAAAUCUUUCUGUAAAUCAAUAAUACAGCUGAGGAAGACUUCUUGAUCAGGUCAAAAACAUUUCUGUAAUAAUAAAUUUUUUCUCCUAAUAAAUGCUGUUUGUAUGUUUUCUUAUGAACAACUUCUCAGCAUGAUCAUCAUAUUAAAUCUAUGUAAGCAGCAAUUUUUUUAUUGUGUUCUAGAACAGUGGUUCUCAAACUUUUUGAGACUAGUGCCCCUUUGGGUGAAUGCAAUUGUUCUGAACGCCCCUGGCAUCUUAUCCCAAUCCAUCAAGGACAAGGUCGAAUGUAAGACUUGGACAAAGCAAAUAUGUAUAAAUAUAUAUAUAUAUAUAAUAUAUAUAUAUAUAUAAUAAAAUAAUAUAUAUAUAUAUAUAUAUAU